AUGGGCGCCGAGCAAAAGCAUUCAACCUUUUGGAUUCGUGUUCACCGAGAGUUUCAUGAGCGCAAGAAGUUUCCGCCUUACCAAUUUGUGAGCACGCGCGGGUGGGUCUCCAUUUUCAAGCGGUGGAGGGUGAUCCAACAAGAGUGCAACAAGUUUUGCGCUACUCUUGAGAGCGUCAAGGCCCGCCCCGUGAGCGGCAUCGGCAUGCAAAACAUGGCAUUUCAAGCUUUGGAGGCAUUCAAGGUUCAACACAAUGGCAAGUGCUUCAACCUCUCCCAUUGCUAUCGGGUCAUCAAG
rnacentral:rRNA from 1 species